GGGCGGGGAGGGGAGGGGAGGGAGAGAGGAAGAAGGGGUGAGAGGGAGAAACCUGCCGCCGCUCGCCGCCUCUUUGUCUGCUCCGGGACUUGGAACAAAAGGGGGAACUCUGAUGAACUCUCUCUCCUCCCCUCUCCCCCGGACGCCCGCCCGGGUAUCUCCCUCUCCCAACUUUGCCGCCGCGACUUUCUCCGCUGUCAGGCCACACAAAAGUGUCCUAGCGCCUCGCAGACUGCAACGAGGGGCAUGUCUCUUAAAAGUGCGACGAAGUGGAGAAGAAGGUAUAAUUAUUAUUAUCAGCAUCUAGAAAGCGUCGUGCGGUGCGUUGACCUUCGCCAUACUGCAUUGUUCUUACUGGAUCUUUCUAUCAGUGAACAUUAUGGAAGUACCAGUGCAACAUCAAGUCAUUCCUGGAUGAAAAGUUAUCAGACUUGUUCUUUUGGAGUUACUUAAAAGUUAAAAUGUCAGGAUUUUUGAUGAUGCCUUCUCUAAAUGGAUUACUACAAUUUGAUCACUGGGAAUUCUCCGCCUUAAAGAAGGUAAAAUCAUCUGUUGGAGUUAUUCCAUUAUCCUCAUCCUGUGGAGAUCUUGAUUUGGAAAUUCUUGACAAAAUCUACAGUGUCUGACUUACUAUCAAUGUUACCAACUGAAGGUUAUGAAAAGCGUCAUAAAAAUCAUCUUCAUAUCAAUUUUUGAGUUCUGCAAUACCUAGUUGUUGAAAUAAUAUUGUAAAAUAAGAGGAAAUGACAAAUGCCAAGAAGCAGCUUGCUAUGGGACUGAAGCAACUGAUAAAGCAAAUAGGAAAGACUAAAAAAGGAUUCAGACAUUGCUGAAAACAGCAGGAGGUGAGCUUUGAGCCCCUCACACUCUAGUCGAAGGAUCCAGAAGGUUUGACAGAGGAGAAAAUAUCUUCUGAGACCUCCUGUUCAUUUUGUGCCUAAGUAUGUUGUUUUGUAGUUAAACCUGGAUGUUGAUUAAACAAACAAACAAAAAAGUGUGGGAAACUUCCAAUAAUCAACUUAUUUUCCAGUCAUUUCUCUCUCCUGUUCUCUGUAGAGGUUGUUCUAACCUUCCUUCCUUCCUUCAUUUCCAACUUCCUACCCUGCCAACUUGCCGAAGAGAGACUUGAGACAUCAACUCCCUCCCCUUCUGUCUCCACGCCCACCCAAUUAAACUGCACUUACCCUCCGUGUCUUUGCCGUGAAUGGGAGCCAAGCCACUCCCUCAGUCGCACUCAUGCCUUCUUCCCAUGCUCCAGAACCCACAUCAGUACCCACUUCUCUUUACCAUCUACCAUUCCUGCUGCUUUCCCUUCAUUCUGACCCCUUAAUUCUGUUUUUCACCUGCUCACUCUUAAAUCUUUUUUUCUGUCUUUUUGAUUGAGAUAUAACUCAUAUGUCUUAAAAUUCUCCAUUUCGACCUAUAUAAUUUAGGACUCUAGUAUAUUUACAAAGUGGCAAAACUAUCACGGUGAUCUAAUUCCAGAAUAUUAUUGUCGCCACAGAAACCAACCCCAUCAUACCCAUUAGCAGUCUCUCUCCAUUCCCCCUCCCCCCAGCCCCUGGCAGCUGCUAAUCUGCCUUCUGUCUGCAUGAAUCUGAUUAUUCUGAAAAUUUCAUAUAAAUGGAAC
rnacentral:lncRNA from 1 species